AUGUUUCUGUGCAGUCUGCUUCUGCUGUCAAUAAUACAGGAUGAAUCGAUUGCACAGACAAUAACACCACUGCAGAGCAGAGCACAAGUUACUGAGGGGAUGUUAGUCAAUCUGUCUCGCAAAUAUGAUGUCACUGCACAGAGUUUACUUUGGUACCGACAAUAUCCCGGAUCAGGACUGGAAUUUCUGUUCCUUGUCGUUGAGUCAUCCAAGAAGACUGCAGUAUAUGCAGAUCCCCCAAUUCCUGGACUGGAUGGUGAAAUGAUAUUGAAAGACAAGCGAGUGGAUCUGGUGAUCUCCUCUGCUGAAGUGUCAGACUCCGCUGUGUACUACUGUGCCAUGGUGCCCACAAUGACAGAAAACAUGACAACACUGUACAAAAACCUCCAACCAUACUCCAUGUGCAAUAAACAAAUGGUGUUCAUAGAAAGUAUCAAGACACAUUUCUAG